CCUACGGGAGGCUGCAGUGAGGAAUAUUGGUCAAUGGACGAGAGUCUGAACCAGCCAAGUCGCGUGAAGGAUGACUGCCCUAUGGGUUGUAAACUUCUUUUAUAUGGGAAUAAAACGUUCCACGUGUGGGAUUUUGUAUGUACCAUAUGAAUAAGGAUCGGCUAACUCCGUGCCAGCAGCCGCGGUAAUACGGAGGAUCCGAGCGUUAUCCGGAUUUAUUGGGUUUAAAGGGAGCGUAGGUGGAUUGUUAAGUCAGUUGUGAAAGUUUGCGGCUCAACCGUAAAAUUGCAGUUGAAACUGGCAGUCUUGAGUACAGUAGAGGGGGGCGGAAUGCGUGGUGUAGCGGUGAAAUGCUUAGAUAUCGCGAAGAACUCCGAUUGCGAAGGCAGUUCACUGGACUGCAACUGACACUGAGGCUCGAAAGUGUGGGUAUCAAACAGGAUUAGAUACCCCGGUAGUC
rnacentral:rRNA from 1 species